rnacentral:rRNA from 1 species
CCAUGAAUCUGGUCUUGGGACACUGUCAGGUGGGCAGUUUGACUGGGGCGGUCGCCUCCCAAAAGGUAACGGAGGCGCUCAAAGGUUCUCUCAGUACGGUCGGAAAUCGUACGUAGAGUGUAAAGGCAAAAGAGAGCUUGAUUGCAAGACAUACAGGUCGAGCAAGGAUGAAAAUCGGACUUAGUGAUCCGGUGGUUCUGCGUGGAAGGGCCAUCGCUCAACGGAUAAAAGCUACCCUGGGGAUAACAGGCUUAUCUCCCCCAAGAGUCCACAUCGACGGGGAGGUUUGGCACCUCGAUGUCGGCUCAUCACAUCCUGGGGCUGUAGUAGGUCCCAAGGGUUGGGCUGUUCGCCCAUUAAAGUGGUACGCGAGCUGGGUUCAGAACGUCGUGAGACAGUUCGGUCCCUAUCCGUCGCAGGCGUAGGAAAUUUGAGAAGACCUGUCCUUAGUACGAGAGGACCGGGAUGGACGUACCUCUGGUGUACCAGUUGUCCUGCCAAGGGCAUGGCUGGGUAGCUAUGUACGGAAUGGAUAAGCGCUGAAAGCAUCUAAGCGCGAAGCCAACUUCAAGAUAAGAUUUCCCACCGCAAGGGUAAGACCCCAGAAAGACUAUCUGGUUGAUAGGUCGAAGGUGUAAGUGCAGCAAUGUAUUUAGCUUAUCGAUACUAAUAGGUCGAGGACUUGACCAAUAUU